rnacentral:rRNA from 1 species
UACGGAGGGUGCAAGCGUUAUCCAGAUUUACUGGGUUUAAAGGGUGCGUAGGUGGAUUGGUAAGUCAGUGGUGAAAUACUUUCGCUUAACGAAGGAACUGCCAUUGAUACUAUCAAUCUUGAAUGUAGUGGAGGUAGGCGGAAUGCGUCAUGUAGCGGUGAAAUGCUUAGAUAUGACGCAGAACACCAAUUGCGAAGGCAGCUUGCUACACUACUAUUGACACUGAGGCACGAAAGCGUGGGGAUCAAACAGG